UACAGAGGUCUCAAGCGUUGUUCGGAUUCAUUGGGCGUAAAGAGCUCGUAGGCGGUUCGAUAAGUCGGGUGUGAAACCUCCAGGCUCAACCUGAAGACGCCACCCGAUACUGUCGUGACUAGAGUCCAGUAGGGGAGCGUGGAAUUCCUGGUGUAGCGGUGAAAUGCGCAGAUAUCAGGAGGAACACCAGCGGCGAAGGCGGCGCUCUGGGCUGGCACUGACGCUGAGGAGCGAAAGCGUGGGGAGCGAACAGG
rnacentral:rRNA from 1 species